AAAAAAAUGAACUGUAAGAAAAGGAUUUAUUUGAAAAACCAUUUCCACAGAAUAAUAUUUCUGAAGCCCUGGAGGUCAUAACUCAUAACACCUGCGAUAUUUCGAAUCCAAACAAAAUCCAUGAAAAGAAGAAAAGGACAAAAUUUUGUUCUGAUUUGGGGAUAUUUUAGCUGCACCUUCUCAUUAAUUAUCUCCCAGGGGACCAAAAACUUGUCAAAACAGCAAGGUCUUCUUCUCAUGAGGGCCCCAAACCCAUUGGAAAUGGAGGUAGAAGAGAAAAAAGCGACCUGGGAGUAGGUGAUUGAGGUUGGAGAGAUGCUCUGCCCUCUGCAUGUAAUUCAAAUGUGGUUCCCAUUCAAAUGGCAAUCAUCGAUGAUAACAGGAUAGGCGACAAACAGGACCAUUUCCACCUUAAAGAAGCUCUUCCAGAGCCUUAAACCUCCCAAUUACAACUUUCAACUUCUGUGAUUCCUAGACUUGUUCAAAUAUGCCCCAUGCAACUUGUUGAUGAGACGACAUCCCACUCAGGGCUCAUCAUGCAAAAGACUUCCACCUCUCCUCGCCACAAUUUGCUGACAGGACUGGGCUUUUCCCACGUCUUUUAUUCAUUUUUUUCACGCGUUAGUACCCUUCUCAGGAAACUUUCCUUUCCUUGUUUGCUUUCUCCUCCACAGCUACUCCGCUCUCGUAAGACCUCCUCAAGUUUAUUUAGGACAUGUUUGAAAGCAAUUUAAAAAAAUAAUUAAAAUGUUUUAGAAUUCUCAUAAUUAAGACAUAUCAAAUCUACUUUAAAAUUAAUAUCAACAUAUGUAAAAUCAAAUUUUAAUAACCUCUAACAAGUUUUAGAAACAAUAUCAAAAAGACACUUUUGAGUUUUUU
rnacentral:misc_RNA from 1 species